rnacentral:rRNA from 1 species
GAUGAACGCUGGCGGCGUGCCUAAUACAUGCAAGUCGAGCGAACGGACGAGGAGCUUGCUUCUCUGAUGUUAGCGGCGGACGGGUGAGUAACACGUGGAUAACCUACCUAUAAGACUGGGAUAACUUCGGGAAACCGGAGCUAAUACCGGAUAAUAUUUUGAACCGCAUGGUUCAAUAGUGAAAGACGGUCUUGCUGUCACUUAUAGAUGGAUCCGCGCUGCAUUAGCUAGUUGGUAAGGUAACGGCUUACCAAGGCAACGAUGCAUAGCCGACCUGAGAGGGUGAUCGGCCACACUGGAACUGAGACACGGUCCAGACUCCUACGGGAGGCAGCAGUAGGGAAUCUUCCGCAAAGGGCGAAAGCCUGACGGAGCAACGCCGCGUGAGUGAUGAAGGUCUUCGGAUCGUAAAACUCUGUUAUUAGGGAAGAACAUAUGUGUAAGUAACUGUGCACAUCUUGACGGUACCUAAUCAGAAAGCCACGGCUAACUACGUG